UACGUACCGUCCAAACGUUAUUCGGAAUUACUGGGCUUAAAGGGUACGUAGGCGGCGCUGUCAGUCGGGUGUGAAAGCCCUCGGCUCAACCGAGGAAUUGCGCCCGAUACUGCAGUGCUUGAGGGAGACAGAGGUAAGCGGAACUGAUGGUGGAGCGGUGAAAUGCGUUGAUAUCAUCAGGAACACCAGUGGCGAAAGCGGCUUACUGGGUCUCUUCUGACGCUGAGGUACGAAAGCUAGGGGAGCGAACAGG
rnacentral:rRNA from 1 species